UGAUCCACGAAGGAAGUGACAUAGCAGGGAGACUCAUAAACAAGGUCAAGAAGGAAGUGGGCCCCCUUCUCUCUUCCUUCUGUUCUCUGCUCUGGAGUCACUAUGUGAUCCACUGGCAAGAGAGGGCACCAGCAGAAGAUAUCUUCUAUAAGGGAUAUCCCGAGGACCACCAGGAGUGUGAAGGUCAGUGGUUCGCAACAUUUUUGCUUCUGGGAGCUCAGAGAUGUUCAGCUACUAAGAAGUUGGGUACAGACUUUCGGUUUAUCUUCAGGAUGUUCCACAUAAGAGGAAAGAGGAAAUACAGUCAAAACAUUGGCUUCUAUUGGUGUUAUGCUUAUAGGGUUUUUCUUGCCUGAUUGUGGGCAGGCAGGGAAGAAUAGAAUGACUGCUCUUUAGAAAUGAAAGGCAUCUAGUGGACUGAAGACAAAAUUCUGUUCCUUUGUAUUGUAUAAUUAUUUUAUAAUGAAAUGUAAAAAAUAAUUUCACCUCUCUCUUUAUACAUACACAGCUUUGUGAGAAUGGUUUCUCAUAAUUUUCUUAUUGGAAGAGGCUCUGGGAAUGCAUAUGUGUUCAGAAGAAAAGACACAGAGUUUCUUUAUUGGUGAUCCAACUUAAGAAAAUGGGCCUUGAAUUGAACGACAUUAUAGGAGUUUUGCUAUGUUACACAAAGACCAGGACAAUGCUCAGAAGACCUCUUGUUCUAGCUUGAGCUGCCUGAGAUCAGGUGUCUAGGCCCUGCAAUGGAACCAUCAUCCUGAAUAAGCCUUGCAUAGACCACCUGUAUGGAAAGAGAAUAGAUAUACUUCCAGACAUUUAUGGAGACUCUACUGGCCCAUCUCUGUGAGUUCAGUCCCUGAGCUGCAGAGAGAAUUGGAAGAUUUGGUUAUAUGACUACCUCAGACCACUCCUGCUUCCUUCCAUAUUGAAGUUAUUGUAUUUUGAGAAAUGCCCAUCUUGGCCUUUUAGAAAAAAAUACUUUGAUCUUUCUAGAGUCUUUUUGUCUUCACCCAAAUGCUGGCCUGACUUGACAACCAAGAGCAAGCAUUGAGAAGAAAUGGUGAAGGACAGACCUAGCUGUUGCUUAGAGAUAGAUGCUUCCCACUGGACUACAUUGGCAGAUGGGAUACUGAUCCAAGUUGAAACCAAGGGAACAGAUCUUUAAGGCAUCCCCCACUCCCAUAUCCUAUCACUGUUAAUAUAAUAGAUUUGUGCUACUCUGCUUUGGUCAGAGAAGCUUCUUAUUGCAGUGCCUAAUGGUUAAUGAAGAAACUCAUACCUGUUCCAACCAUCAAGAACAAGCAGAAAUGAGUGCUUAGACACAGAUGGAAUGUAUGUAUCAACACUGCCCCUUCCAAUACUCAAGAGAAAAAUCACAGACAAUGGGAUAGAAAAAAAUGCAAGAACUGGAGAGUGAGCAGAAGAUGCCAGUUAUAGGACUGGAGAGCUGAAGAACACGUGGGAAGCCCUGAGUGCUAGACUGAUUCAAAGGGAAAUUUUCAGCAAAUCUACAACUGGGGUUCUGUCUUGGGGUCCUGUGUGAGGAUGCACUUCCUGCCCGUGGAGCUGACUGCUUACCGCUAUGCAAGCUUCUAAAGCAACAGUUUCUGCAUUUGCCCUCUGAGUGGCAAAACCAAUUCUCAGCAGGAAAAGAAAAAUCGCUACUUAUCCUUGAAAAGUGUCUCCUUUAUGUGUGAAAACACUGAGGUGAAAAUGUCAAAAAUUUCACGUUUCUUUCAGCCUGUGAAAUCUAACGGGAUGUGAAAUUUCCUCCUGACCCAGAUUGGAGUGAUGGGUGCUUCUCCUGGCCAUUAGAAGAAAUCCCCCUGCUGUGCUUUUUUAUUUUUAAAAGGCAAAUAUUAAAG
ensembl:lncRNA